rnacentral:rRNA from 1 species
AAUCUUCCACAAUGGCCGAAAGUCUGAUGGAGCAUCGCCGCGUGAUCUCAAAAUGUUUUCGAAUAGUAAAGCCCUUUUGUGAGGGAAGAACAAGUCCGGGGGUAACUGCCCGUACCUCUACCUUACCUCGUCAGCACGCCAGUGCUAACUACGCGCCAUCAGCCGCGGUAAUACGUAGGUCGCAAGCGUUGUCCGUAAUUAUUGGUCGUAAGGCGCGAGCAGGCGGUCCUUUAAGUCUGAUGUGAAAGCCCACGGCUCAACCGUGAAGGGUCAUUGGAAACUGGAGGACUUGAGUACAGAAGAGGAAAGCGGAAUUCCACGUGUAGCGGUGAAAUGCGUAGAGAUGUGGAGGAACACCAGUGGCGAAGGCGGCUUUCUGGUCUGUAACUGACGCUGAGGCGCGAAAGCGUGGGGAGCAAACA